AGAGUAUUGUCAAAAAACAAUACUUUGUAGAGUACACAUAAGAAGAAAAGUUCUGCACUAGAUUUUGACAACUGGGGUAGGCCUCUUUCUUAAUGUCAGUGUCCUUUGUCUUAAGAUUUGGUGCAGACUAU
rnacentral:snoRNA from 1 species